UCCUGCCAACUCAGAGCCAAUUUUUUUUUUAACAAAUUUAAUAAAAUUCAUUUUAAAUAAAAUUAUAAUAAUUUAAAAUUAUGGUCCUCUCGUACUAAAAAUUUUUAAUAAAAUCAAGGAUAGAAACCAACCUGGCUUAAACCGGAUUGAACUCAGAUCAUGUCAAAUUUUAAAGGUCGAACAGACCUAAAUUUUUAAGCUUCUACACCCAAAAUAAAUUUUAAUCCAACAUCGAGGUCGCAAUUUUUUAUGUCAAUAA